GAUGAAGAACGUAGCGAAAUGCGAUAAGUAAUGUGAAUUGCAGAAUUCAGUGAAUCAUCGAAUCUUUGAACGCACAUUGCGCCCCUUGGUAUUCCGAGGGGCAUGCCUGUUCGAGCGUCAUUAUAACCCCUCAAGCUCAGCUUGGUGUUGGGGCCUGCUGCACUGGCAGCCCUUAAAAUCAGUGGCGGCGCCAUCUGGCUCUAAGCGUAGUAAUUCUUCUCGCUAUGGAGUCCUGGUGGAUGCUUGCCAUCAACCACCAAUUUUUCUAUGGUUGACCUCGGAUCAGGUAGGGAUACCCGCUGAACUUAAGCAUAUCAAUAAGCGGAGGA
rnacentral:misc_RNA from 1 species